rnacentral:rRNA from 1 species
GUCUUUUUGAAAAAUUAGAAAGUCCAAUCUGCUCACUGAAUAUUUUAAAGAGCCGCAGUAUAUUGACUGUGCAAAGGUAGCAUAAUCAAUAGUUUUUUAAUUGGAAACUGGAAUGAAGGAUUAGACGAAAGUUAUAUUUUCUUUGUUUAAAUAAAUUUAAUUUUAAUUUUGAGUGAAAAUGCUUAAAUAAUAUUAAAAGACGAGAAGACCCUAUAGAUUUUUAUUGUUAAAAAUUAAUUUUAAAUUUUAUUUAAUUUUUAAUAAUUUAAUUGGGGCGAUUUUGUAAAAUAGAAAACUUAAUUUUUUAUUACCAAAAAUAAAUGAAUUUUCUUGAUCUAAAAGUUUUAAAGAAAAGAUUAAAUUACCUUAGGGAUAACAGCGUAAUUUUAUUUAAGAGUUCAUAUCUAUAAUAGAGUUUGCGACCUCGAUGUUGAAUUAAGUUAAUAUAUUGGAGCAGAAAUUAAUAUUGUUAGUCUGUUCGACUAUUAAAUUCU